CCGCGGCCCGUGAGGGUAACGGGUUCGCCGGGGUUGGGGCCGCGGUCGGACGUGCCUGUGUAGACAGACCGCUGGCCCGUCGCUCGCCGGCGCCUUUGCGGGACAGCGGCCGGGAAGGUGGCGGGUACAGGCCCGAGCAGCACCGCCAAGGCGGGGGGGGGGGGGGCCACACCAGUAGGUACAGGAACGGGCACCUGCGGCCUAAACGGUUUCUGUUCGCUAGACGUCAACUCACGUGGAUUUGAGUCUACACAAAAAGGCAACAGAUGUUGCCACGGCCUGAGCAUUACAAGGUGGCCGGUCUCCCUGCCGAACACCGGUAUCUGACGUCCCUUUGAAAGAACUCGCGGUUUUACCACCCGCGGACGAAAACCCAAACGCGCUUGCCGGUCUCUGCACGGCCCCUCCCUUCCGAAGACCGCUGUCCCAGGAAUCGCAGUAACGCGGCCGGCUGGGCGACUUCGUUUUAUUCCCCGAACGUCAGCUUUCCGGCUCACGCCCUCGUCCGUGGCCGACCACACGCUGACCUGUCCCGAGGGGCCGAGGUAGAAGCCAUCAUUCGCAGCGAUUUCCGUGUCCGUGAAGGGCCCAAAGCUCCUAGACUUUUCAACCGAAUACUCAGGUUCUUUGACAACGUUCACAUGGGGAACCUGUCUCGAUGACCUGUCUACGAGUGUAAGUCACACGAUUCGUUGGUUCACGUGGGAUUGAGGGCCUCUUGGGCAGAGGUGGGAGCCAGGACUCGAGUCACCGAAUGGAUACUGCCAAGGCCGGAGCCUGAAUGAACCAAGACGAUACGGAAAAGCAAGCAGCUUCUAGAUGGAUCGUAGUCUGCACGCUUUUGUAAGAAACCACUAAAUCCGGACCGGAAAGCAUUUUGACAAACCGGUUACUCACGGUGCCCUCAGAUUUGCCUGGGCGUCCGUCUGUGGGCAAGGGGCCACCGCCUAGACGUGGAUGUUGGGACCGUCGUCACCACCCUGGGGCACCUGCCUGGGGUUACGACCAGCGGCGGGGGGGAAGAGGUCAAGAAGGGACCACAGAAAUUGGCCGGCAGGGCCACCUGUUGUCAUGUCAGGCUGUCGUCAUCCGUUCCAGCAUCGGAUGUUCCUAAACUGUCCGAAGCCUCUCUGUCCUGGUACAGCCGCUACCCACCUCCUAGUCCCCUCCGCCGGGGAGGCCCGCAUCCGGCUUCCUCUCCGUGGGGGGUACGGCAGUGGGGGAGGCACACAAUUUUUAAAGUUAGUUCUUCCCCCACGUUUUGGCUUCGUUACUGGGUAUUUGAAUACGUCAUGUGUCUAGCCCUGUGCCCGCCUGCGCGUUACAAAGGCGAAUCUAAAGCCGACUGGAUCGGACGUAAGAGGCCCUUGCGACUGGGUGCGUGGCCGGCGUUUGUGCCGAGAGAACCGGUGUAGAGAGGACACCGGAGACGGGCGUUUUGGAUGCGGGCACAAGAAGCUCACCGUGCUGUGCUCACAACUCCCUGCUCUCCACUAAACUCUUGUCUCGGCCACGGAUCCGGGUGUCUGGAGCGUCGAGCGAGAACCUCCCUGGACUCCAGGCUCCGCUCCCAGCUGUUCACACACGGGGACGGGCUGGCGGCGGUCAACGGCAGGAAGGCUGUGGCCGGAAGAAGCUCCAGGCCUGUAGACCCCACUGGAGCGGUGGUCCCCGCGCUGUCCUCAAUGGGCCCGCGUGUCCCCACGGGGGGCGGGGGGGGGCCGGGGGGCGGCGGCGGCUCCACUCACGGCGAGCAUCCGGGGCGGGACGUAGCAGUGACAGAGUCCGUCCGCGACGGACCCCCAAGCGUGUGGCACCACUUCCCGGACACGGGGGUUGGGAGACCGCCUACCCCAGUGUCCUUCGGCACCAGACGUGGCAGAAAUGAAAGCGCAGCACGGGAGGUUGGCGCGUCGGGCCAGGUUUUCUGGCCCCAAAGCGAAAUGGCCAGUUAGCGCUCGAGUGAGGACCGGCGUUGCCAGGGCUGACGCGCCCACAUGCGGCAGAGACCAGUCCCGUCGAGGUUUGCGUGGUUGGAAAGGGAAGAUUUGAUUAAGCUUCACACGAAAUAGCAUCACGCUGUGUAAAUCCACAAAAAUGUCCUCUAAUUCCGGAAAAGGCAACUGGACCGCGCAGACCGAUCACAGCUGUCAUGACGAGUCCAAGGCAAGAGCCCUGCUUCCGGGACACUUGGAGGGGUUUACCGGCCUUUCUUUAAGACCUGACACCGGUCUGGUUGUUGCCCAUCACCUUUCGUAGGCAGGAAAGCAAUCUCCCGCCGCUUUGGGAUUUCCGAACGGCCACCUCGUCCAGCUCCAUGAUUGUCUACACGGAGAUUGAGGCUUCAAGGCCCCUGUGCGCCAGGCCGCUGGGACCCGCCCGCCCGGGCCCCAGGACGCCAGCUAUCUUGUCAUGUUAUACGAAAUAAUAACUGGGCAAGUUAAUACAGGUAAUAAAUAGCCUUUAAAUCGGGACCCACAGAAAGACACCCCAGGAUUUCAGGGUGAGUGUGCUGUCCCCUCCACGGACAACUCGGUACGAUCAAUGACGACACCAGGGAGAAGUUCAAGUAUUCUUUUAUUCAAAGUUGAAAAAUGUACCAUACUGCAUUAUUGCAAAAAUUCACUGGUACAAAACACUUUGCAGCUGGUGAGAAGGCAAUAAAAAGUUGAUUUUUAAACUCA